UUUCUCUAUCCUAUGCGCACACUUCUCUCCUCUUUUCUCUCUCUUUCCGCCUCCUCUUCUAAACUCUUUCUUUCUGCGCUGCGUCCCUCUCUCUCCCUUCCCCUCUCACCUCUUCAACUUUGUAAAAUAUUUUUUGAUGGAUAGUUGGUGGAGAGGUAUAUUGGGCGUCAUAGGCUGCUGGAGAUGACCCGGCCCAGAUUCGCCAUCUUUUGCUUCUAUAGGGUUUAUCUCUCCAUUAUUGCAGGUGUUCCUUCAUCAAGAUGAUAGAUAGAGUUGUUAUAUUUGAAGCAUGAAUUAGCUAAGUACACAACGCUUGUACAUGAUCACACAAUAUAGGAGGUACGUACGUACAGGAACCCGGGGAAAAUGAAAAUUACAAAUGAUUCAUAACAAGUGGAGGAGGUUCUCAAUACAUGAGAGUUAUCGUCAAUUUAAGCAGGUACUUCACAAGAAGGGAAAUGUGUGUUAAAUAAUGGCAGAAGGUGGACUCCAAGCGAUUUUUCAAUUAAAUUGAAAAGGAAAAAGGUGAGUCAUAUUUCUCAUAAUCUAUUCCUUUUAAAAAAAGGUGAUUAGUUGUCCUGCAACUAAGGCUGACAAAAUUCCUCUUAAUAAUUCAUGCUGCGAUAAUGAGUAUGAGGAGUUGCAUUCUUCUUUUCACGCUUUCAAUUAAAAGCAAACAAAAAUGAAUAUUAUCAUUUUCUUGUAUUAUAGAUAAACACCUACUUCUUCUUUCAAGUCCAGCUUCAGACCAAAAAAUAUAAUAUUCUUCAUAGCUAGUAAUAACAUUAUCAAGGAUACAGAUAUCAUUUCCCCAAUUAUUUCCUUUAUUUAAGGGUUAUGAAACAUGAAAAUUUUUUAGAGAAUAUCUGAUAAAAUAAUCAGGGUGAUUGUAAAUCUUGUAUAAUGUUAUUUUUUAGAGAAUAUCUGAUAAAAUAAUCAGGGUGAUUUUCCCCAAUAUCCUUUUUAGAAAAAAUUUUGGUUUCAUCAUCAGAAACUAGUUUAGUUCUAAGAUACCUUUUAAGGUCGUUAAGAUCUCUCUCUGAGAGUUUUCAAGAAGCUCACCCAAAAUUUUAGCAAGAGCCCUUUUUGGGGUGCUUUGUGGUUGGGUAGUUGGUUUAAUUGGUUCAAUCAUUCCCCUUUUUGAGAAUAUUGAUUGUUCGAAGAAAUCAAACUUAUCCUACCAUUUAAUGAGAAUUCUCCUUCCUAAAUAAGGGACAUGGCAUUGCGUAAUUUCGAAUUUCUUAAUUGGAACAUUUCUGACAAUAAUAUCCCACUUAAGAAUCCAAGGAACUUGAUAGAGAGCUGUAAACAUAAGCUCUUUGUAUUUCAUGGAUUUAUUUACUAUGCAAAAAUCAUCAAAGAUUGACCUGACAUUAUUAGGAAGGAUCAUUGGAUUUAAUCCUCAUUAUGAGAACAAAAAAAAUAAACCACAGAGGGAGAUUAGUGGUAUCAAAAUCUUUAAAUUGGAGAAUGUUACAACCCGAGUUUUCGUGCACAUGUUUUGGGCAUAAAAAUAAUUGGACAAAGAGACGAUUGGAUUUAUUUUGUACAUACAAAGUUGGAUUUAAUCUUAAGUUGGGGGCCUUAAGUUAUGUUUGGUUCUUUCAUAGAUUUAAAGUUCGAGGAAUUUCUAAUUUGUGAGCUACAAUUGUUGGAAAAUAGAAAUUCCAAGUAAUCUAAUAGAGUAUUCACAUGUACUACACGCAUAUACAGGGGGCACUAGGGCGCAUCCUUAAUUAGAGUGCUAACGUACAUCCAAUCUCGUGCUGCCACGUGGCACGAGAAAUGCUAAAAUGCUAUAUAUAUUUGUGAAGCUAUAUAUGAAUUUACGCAGAUUGCAUUUUAGUUAUAGACAAAUUGCAUCUUAUAUUGUUCUAGUUUUACAUUUUAACAUAAAUUGUCUACACUGCAAAAUAAACUAUAUAUAAAUGCAAUCCUUCUAUAUAUAAAAUGUAAAUUAAACAGUCUAUAUCUAAAAUGUAAAACUCAACAAUAAAAAAUGCAAUAUGCCGAAAUCCAUCUAUCAUUUCUACAAAUAUAUAUUGCAUUUUAUUGUUUACAAUAUUGCAUGUUUCGUGGCACGUGACAACACGAGAUUGGAUGGACAUUAGCACUUAAAAUUAAUUAGCAUAUUAGUAUAUCCCCGCAUAUACAUAUACAUGCAAACUUUUGUUCAUGAUAUAUAAAAGAGAUAUGUUACAGCUUGGAAAAUCUAAGCAGAUAAUCUAGAAUUUACUCUAGCUAAAAAUGAUAAUGAGAUCUAGGAGUGCCUUGAGCAUUAUAUUUUCCCCUCAUUUGUCUUCUCGGUUGGACAGCCCCACACAGCCAAAAUUGAGCAGCCCUAAACCUGCCAAAGAUAUAUAAUUGCCAAAAAAAAAAGUUAGUUAUUGUUCCAACCAAAGACCAAGGAAGAAAUCAAUUAAUAGAAUCAGAAAGUGACAAUGACUCUUGCUUAGGAGCUCCUGCCAAGUCCAAGGUGAGGACAAGAGGCAAGAUUGCCCCAAAGCUUCCGAAAAGGGAAUGAAAACAAAAGUGACAGAAAGUAUCUUCCAAGACUCCUUGUGGGUAAAUUAAAAAAAAACCCAAAAAGUGUGAGCUCAUGGUGAACCCCAAAAAAAGAGAACUGCUGGAAUGCAUAUAUAUCAUCUAGGAUCAGUGGUUUCUUCAAUUCAGAGAUUUUCAUACCACUAAUCUCCAUCUGAUGGUUUAUUUUUUUGUUCUCAAUUUCUCAUUAUGGGGAUCAAAUCCAAUGAUCCUUCCUGAUAAUGUCAUAUCAAUCUUUAAUGAUUUUUGCGUAGUAAACAAAUCUAUGAAAUACAAAGAGCUUAUAUUUACAGCUCUCUAUCAAGUUCCUUAGAUUCUUAAGUGGGAUAUUAUUGUUAGAAAUGUUCCAAUUAAGAAAUUCGAGAUUACUCAAUAUCCCUUAUUUAGGAAGGAGAAUUCUCAUUAAAUGGUGGGAUAAGUUUGAUUUCUUUGAAAUGAUUCAUCUUAAACCAACUAUCCAACCAGAAGGCACCCUUAAAAGGGCUCUUGCUAAAAUUUUGGGCAAGCUUCUUGAAAACUCCCUGAGAAAGAUCUUAAGGGCCUUAAAAGGUAUCUUAGAACUAAACUAUUUUUUGAUGAUGAAACAGAAAAAAAUUUCUAAAAAGGAUAUUGGGGAAAAUCAUCAUUGUGAUGACAUUGUGCAAGAUGCACAAUCACCCUGAUUAUUUUAUCAGAUCUUCUAUAAAAAAAUUUCAUGUUUCGUAACCCUUUAAAUAAAAGAAAUAAUUGGGGAAACGAUAUUCGUACCCUUAAUAAUGUUAUUACUAGCUAUGAAGAAUAGCUUAUUUUCUGGGAAGAAGCCCGACUUAAAAGAAGAAGAGGGUGUUUAUCUAUAACACAAGAAAAUGAUAAUACUCGCUUUUGUUUGCUUUUAAUUGAAAGCACGAAAAGAAGAAGGCAAAUCCUCACUCAUUAUGGCAGCAUGAAUUAUUGAGAGGAAUCUUGUCAGCCUCAGUAGUAGGACAACUGUUCACUUUUUUUUAAAGGGUGAGAACCUUUUUCCUUCUCAACUUAAUUGAAGAAUUGUUUGGAGUCUACCUUCUGCCCUUAUUUAAGGCAUCUUUCCCUUCUUGUGGAGAAUACGCUUAAAUGGACUACUACUCUCAUGUGUUAAGACCCUCCUACACUUGUUAUAAAUCAUUUGUAAUUUUCGUUUUCCCUAGUUCAUGUAUGUACGUACCUCCUCUUUUUGUGUGAUAAUUAUAUUACUAAUGUUAUGAUCUGACUAGAGGGAGAAAAUUGAAACAAUAGAAUUCAUCUUCCACAACUACCUACAACCUAGCAUAAUCAAUAGAGAAGAUGUCACGGAGACGGUGGAGAUAUAGUCCUAUAGUGAAAGUCGACGACCCAAAGACACAAGUUGGAGGCUAUGGAGAGAGUCGCGUGAGAGAAGGGGAUAGACACGAAGGAGGAACUCAUAUACGUAGCAUAGCAAAGCAGCAGCAAUGAAGGGGAGUAAAACAAAUAUAUUCAUAAAAAUACAUCAGAACUCAAAUGUGAUAUAGAGGAUUACAGAAAUGCAAAUAAAGAACAUUGUCGAA